rnacentral:rRNA from 1 species
GACGAACGCUGGCGGCGUGCUUAACACAUGCCAGUCGAACGGAAAGGCCCUGCUUGCAGGGUACUCGAGUGGCGAACGGGUGAGUAACACGUGGGUGAUCUGCCCUGCACUUCGGGAUAAGCCUGGGAAACUGGGUCUAAUACCGGAUAGGAGCCAUUUUUAGUGUGAUGGUUGGAAAGUUUUUUCGGUGUAGGAUGAGCUCGCGGCCUAUUAGCCUGUUGGUGGGGUAAUGGCCUACCAAGGCGGCGACGGGUAGCUGGCCUGAGAGGGUGGACUGCCACAUUGGGAAUGGGAUACGGCGCAGUAUCCCACGGGAGGCAGCAGUGGGGAAGCUUGCACAAUGGGCGCAAGCCUGAUGCAGGGACGCCGCGUGGUGGAUGACAGCCUUCGGGUUGUAAACUCCUUUCGCUAGGGACGAAGCUUUUAGUGACGGUACCUAGAUAAGAAGCACCGGCUAACUACGUG